CUGCUGCCUUCCGUAGGAGUUUGGGCCGUGUCUCAGUCCCAAUGUGGCCGUCCACCCUCUCAGGCCGGCUACUGAUCGUCGCUUUGGUAGGCCGUUACCCUGCCAACUGGCUAAUCAGACGCGGGUCCAUCGUAUACCACCGGAGUUUUUCACACUGCGCCAUGCGGCGCUGUGCGCUUAUGCGGUUUUAGCACCUAUUUCUAAGUGUUAUCCCCCUGUAUACGGCAGGUUACCCACGCGUUACUCACCCGUCCGCCACUAAG
rnacentral:rRNA from 1 species